rnacentral:lncRNA from 1 species
CAGAAGACCCCUCUCCAUAUGUAGAAAGAGUUGUUUUUCUUUAUCUUCUCUUCUGCCUAUUAAACCUCCGUUCCUAAACUCCUGGUGUGUGUCUGGUCCUAAAUUUCCCUGGCAUGAGACGACGAACCCUAGGGAACAUUUGACUGGUGUGGGGAAAAAAUGCCUCAGAUGAGCACAUCGCACAACUUCAGUAAACACACUGCUCAUGUGGCCCCUCUCAAGUGCUGACAGGCCACUGUGUGUUUGGACAGCCCCCGCAAGGAAAGAAUCAAGGGAGAGGAAACACAAACCCUGGAACCAUGCCAGUGUAUAAAACCCCUAUUUGGCCAGGAGUGGUGGCUCACACCUGUAAUCCCAGCACUUUGGGAGGCUGAAGUGGGUGGAUCACAAGGUCAAGAGAUCGAGACCAUCCUGGCCAACAUGGUGAAACCCCAUCUGUACUAAAAAUAUAUAAGUUAGCUGGGCCUGGUGGCAUGCGCCUGUAGUCCCAGCUACUCGGGAGGCUGAGGCAGGAGAAUUGCUUGAACCUGAGAGGCAGAGGUGGCAGUGAGCCAAGAUUGCACCACUGCACUCCAGCCUGGUGACAGAGCGAGACUCCAUCUCAAAAAAAAAAAGAAAAGAAAAUUCAAGGAUUGGAUGGGGCACUUAGAUCUCUCAAGUCACCUGCUUGGCCUUCUUCCAAGUGUAAUUUGCUUCCUUUUGUUCUUGCUCUAAAGCUUUUUAAUAAACUCUCACUCCUGCCCUAAACUUGCCUUAUUCUCUCACUCUGCCUUAUGCCCCUUUGCUGAAUUCUUUCCUUUGAGGAAGCAAGAAUCAAGUUUGCUGCAGACCCAUCGGAUUCUUACUGCCAAUACAGACAUGCCUCAUUAUACUCUCCUCCCUUUAGAAUUCAGGCACAAUUGACCAGCAUUAACAUUAAAACAGAGAUCUUAAGACUGUCAAAACAGACA